rnacentral:lncRNA from 1 species
UACCUUGGCCCCUGCACACACCUUGUUCCGCCUGAGCAACAGAGCUUGUGGCCAGGGUCUGUAGAUUCUUGAACGCUGACUUCCAAUCAGGCCUACAGGGUUUCUAGCAAUGGAGCCCAGAGGAAAAUCUGGUGCCACCGUGGACGCGAGUCUCUUAAAAGGGUGCUGUCACUCCAUGGAAACCUCGGGAUAUGAAAGCAAACAGUCACAACAGGAGUGCUACAGAUGAUUGGGAAAUAAGCUGUUCGGGACAACUUGAGGGGCCGCUGGCUGCAAGACGCACACCGAUCAGCAUGUGGAGAUUUGGUGAGGGUGCCACAAGCCAUGUGAGAUAGGCAGACGUAUAGCUACCUUCACAAUGUCACUGGAAGAGGCAAUAAAUGCUGCAAGUCAAGAACCGCAGCAAGGUACAAAUUUGAACUAGAUGGUGACAUUAUGGUGAAGCAACUCGAUGAACAUGGAAGACAGCUUAAGGACCCAACAAUGACUACCAAAGUGACGAUUCUUAUUGCAGCAACCGCAACGUCUUGGUCUUAAACAUUGUUUAUGCAAAAUUUAUUCCACAAACACACAAAGUCUCUCAUGUAAAAAACGUGUCCCCUGGUGGAAUGAGGAGUGCAGACUGGCACGAAAAAAACAAAGUGUGGGGCGUACUGCGUCACUGCCCAACUGCAGAAAAUCUCAUAGAAUUUAAACUGGUAAAAUCAAAGCGAAGACGGACACGGCGACAGGCAAGGAGGGCAAGCUGGGAGAGGUUUCCGUCUGGCAUAACAUCUUACAGGAUUCUAAAGUAUGGAAUUGCCUGAGAAGGCUAAAGGGGUAGGAAACCCAUCCAUUAUCGCUUGUCAAUGAACAAGGGAACAGCCUGGAAGACCAGGCAAACGCUCUCGGUGAAGAGCGUGUGUCUAGCUUGACCCAGUACUCCGAAUCAUUUCUCAAACACAGCUGAAAUAAAGGCACUCAACUCAGUGCACACAGAAUGACGCUUAUAACCUUCCUUUUAGUAUCGCCGAGUUAAGAGCUUCUUUGAACGUGUGUAAGAGCUCUGCCCCAGGGGUCGACAGAAUCAUGUAUGGCAUGAUUAAAAACCUCCAGACAGACACAUUAAGGACGCUCCUAGUACAUUUUAAUAAAAUUUUGACUGCCGCGUACCUUCCAGCUGCA